AGGACCUAAGUAACUGAUACCAUCUCCUGGGACAGUCAAUCCAGGAUGCUGAGGCUUUUGAAGGCUGUAGGUAAUGAUGGUUUGGCCAUACCUAUAAAAAUUUUUUUAUUAUUUAAAGAAUGUUUUUUAAGAGAAUAGUUGAUCAUUAGAAGGAUUUUAGUUAAAACAUUCAUAGACUUAUUCAUAGACUUCAUCCUUUUCUUGAAGAAUGAUCCUGGAUAGCACUUCAACAAACACUUGCUGAAUUCACCUGUUUGGGAAAUGCUGGGACUUAGUGCCUGGAUGCCCCACAACCUUGGAGAAAUGCCAACACACACCACACUCAGACUCCUUUCUAUAUUCCUAGGCAGGACUGCAACACCAGCCUGGUGCGGGCCUGCUGGAAUGAGCUCUUCACCCUCGGCCUGGCCCAGUGUGCCCAGGUCAUGAGUCUCUCCACCAUCCUGGCUGCCAUUGUCAACCACCUGCAGAACAGCAUCCAGGAAGAUAAACUUUCCGGUGACCGGAUAAAGCAAGUCAUGGAGCACAUCUGGA
rnacentral:sRNA from 1 species